UGGGGAAUUUUGGACAAUGGGCGCAAGCCUGAUCCAGCCAUGCCGCGUGCAGGAUGAAGGCCUACGGGUUGUAAACUGCUUUUGUACGGAACGAAAAGACUCCUUCUAAUAAAGGGGGUCCAUGACGGUACCGUAAGAAUAAGCACCGGCUAACUACGUGCCAGCAGCCGCGGUAAUACGUAGGGUGCGAGCGUUAAUCGGAAUUACUGGGUGUAAAGCGUGCGCAGGCGGUUAUAUAAGACAGGUGUGAAAUCCCCGGGCUCAACCUGGGAACUGCAUUUGUGACUGUAUAGCUAGAGUACGGCAGAGGGGGAUGGAAUUCCGGGUGUAGCAGUGAAAUGCGUAGAUAUGCGGAGGAACACCGAUGGCGAAGGCAAUCCCCUGGGCCUGUACUGACGCUCAUGCACGAAAGCGUGGGGAGCAAACA
rnacentral:rRNA from 1 species